rnacentral:tRNA from 1 species
GGGGCUAUAGCUCAGCCGGUUAGAGCGCGUCCCUGAUAAGGACGAGGUCGCUGGUUCGAUUCCAGCUAGCCCCACCA